rnacentral:rRNA from 1 species
UACGGAGGAUCCGAGCGUUAUCCGGAUUUAUUGGGUUUAAAGGGUGCGCAGGCGGGAGAUUAAGUCGGCGGUGAAAUUUUGCAGCUCAACUGUAAAAGUGCCUUCGAGACUGGUUUCCUUGAGUGUGGAUGAGGUAGGCGGAAUUUGUGGUGUAGCGGUGAAAUGCAUAGAUAUCACGAGGAACUCCGAUUGCGCAGGCAGCUUACUAAGCCAUAACUGACGCUCAAGCACGAAGGCGUGGGGAUCAAACAGGAUUAGAUA